UGUGACCAAUCAGGAUUCUAAUGAAAUACUAUGAUUUGUUUAACUUGAGUCAUGUGCUCUCCAUGUUGGCAGAGAGGCUAUAGUUGAUCUGAGAAUCAGGGGGAAGGGUGCCGAAAAACAGAUAGACACCUCCAAAUGAGAGCAGGACUAUUUUCUCAGUGGACUAAGUCAAUGGUCAUUAGUCCUGUUCACUGAAUAUCUCUAACUGAACUUUCCUUCCAGAGACAGAGUAGGAUGACACCUUUCUAUCUCCUUAGAAUUAAGUGUGACCAGGUGACUUGCUUUUGCCAAGAAAAUAAGAGUAGAAAUGAUCCGUGUUGCUUCUAGGUGGAAGCUUUAUAAGCAGUAAUAUGCCAUCCUCACUUUCCUUUUGAUAUAGCGAUUGGCAGUGUUGUAGAUAGUGGCUGUUUCAGCAGCCUCAGCCCUAGAAUGAGAUGAAUGGAGCAGAGCUUCCUACCAGUCCAUAAUGAGCAUGUACUGUGUGCAAUAAACAAGCCUUUGUGUUUAAAGCCACUCCAAUUUGUGGGUUGUGUAUUACAGCAGUGUAACCUGAACUAUCCUGACUGAAUCUAUGAGAAAAGUACUCAGAGCAGUGAUUCUUCUGAGCUUUGUACCAGGGGCAGCUGCCCAUCAAAACAACGCUGGACACUAGCCUCAAACAACCAAAAAUGUCAAUAGAGGACAGUGAAAGAAACUGGAUGUUACGAAUGUCCUUGGCAUCAACUGCUGCCACCCUUCCUCCUCUCCCUCAUACCAGUCAACGUGUUUGCCCAGCUGGAAAAUGACGGAUGUAAUAAAAGCUACCAUUUAUUGAUCAUGUGCCACAUGAGACACAAUGCACAAAGCAUCUUCUGGCAUAUGACCUUUACAACAAGUGUUGUAAUAAACCCAUAUUUUGGAUGUGAAAACCAAGGCUCACCGCAGCAAUCUAACAUCCCAAAGUCACAGAGCUGGUGGAGCUGGAAUUCACCCUCUAGAUUGUCUGACUUCAGAUUCUGAAGAUAUGCAUUACAAUCCCCAUUUCAUGGAGAAGAAAGUAGAAGAGUGGUCAAUUUGAGGGAUUCUUCUAUGCUGGAAUAAACUGUGCCUCAAAGAACCCAUAAUCUUUCAAUUGCAUUGCAUUUCCUAGAAAUGUCCACCCAAUUUUUGUAAAGAAUCCUGAAUACAGCUUGAAGUUGUCAGCCUUGGGCACCUAUAACUGUUUUUUUUUAAAACCAUUCACUGGGAGAUAUAACAAAGAAGUGGCAGAGCCCCCAGGGACAGAAUCUUCUAUCUUAGGGCACAACACCAGAUGUUGGAUGGGUCAAGAAGGACCAGGUGGUGACUUGAGAAAAGCCAGUGCCGCCAUUCGCUUUGAUCCCAUAGGAGUUCACUUGUUGGAAAGUGGAUGUGGAAUUUGGAAGCCAGGCUCAGAAAGACCCAAGUGCAGAAUCUGGUUCCAGUAAGUCAAAUAUUUUAAUUAAUCAUCACAUUUUCCAGCACGCUCUGAAAGCAAAGAAAGAGAUACACUUUAUCUAUUCCUUAGAAUGAGAGGAGGUUCUAUGGAGGUGGUGGAGUUAAGAGUUGGUACUAUUCAUCUUCAAAGGGACUUGCUAACAUAACAAACACUUCUUUCUCAACUUCUGAAUCCAUGAAGCCCCAAGUGGAAAUACGUUCUAUCUGUUGGAAAAGCAUUCCAGUCUAUGGAAUCAGUCUCUUGAUAAGGUGGUAAUUACUGGAGCAAUUUUAGCAGGUACAAAGGCAUUUUUAAUAGUUUUAAUUAUUCAAAGCCCUGACUAAUUAUCCAGUCUGUAGAUCAGAGGCCAAGGGGGGAUAAAAUUGUAUGAAAGUGGUUACCAUGACAGGAUGAAGGGAAGAUUCAGCCACCUUCAAACAGAAAGCUGCUCUCUGUGACUUUGCAGUUACAUGCUCGUGCCCUGCAGUGCUCAGAGAGAAUGGACCACUGGCCUGGGCACUUAGAGUCCUGGGUUCCAGGCCUGGCUCCACCGCCGAUCUGCUACAUCCUUGCCAGAUUCGCUUUCCCUUAUCAGGACUCUAAAAUUAGCGGAUUGCAGCGGGGAGGUAUAGGGAACACAAUAGAUGGUCUCUGGACCUCCGUCAAGUGCUGACAUUCUAUAGUUCCACAGGGCUUUUUUCAAAGUAUAGAUUCUAUUGAAAUUUUUUUCUGUGGACAAUGAAAAUCCAGGAAAAGUUUAUAAGCACAUAAAGGCUUUGAUCAUAUUUUGAGUUAGGAAGACAGCCACCGUGUAGGGCAGAUCAACAUAGGGAGAGGCUGGAAAAAAGUGACACAAGCCAUGUCUGACAGAUGAAUAUGUUUUUACCUGAAUGUCUGCUUUUGGGUGGAACAAAAGCGACCUCCAUUUAUGGAGCCUUUCACCUCCACCCGUGGCCCCAUGUGAGGUACUGUGGAGACACAGGCUCUGCCUUCAAGGAGUUUGCUAGACUUUUUGCUAGACGUUUACUGCUAGAGUAAGGAUGCCUUGUUCCAAUGGUGGCCGACUGAUGGGUCUAUCUGGAGGAUGAUGUCAGAAUAUUUUGGAAGCAGAGACAUUGUCCAUUUUCACUGACAUGGCAAGUCAUGCCUGGAGCCUCUCUGUAUGAACCUUCUCUGCAGAUGCAGUGAUGAGACCACCUCGCAAAGCACACCUAGGCCCUGUGUGGGCUUGAUGGCUUCCAUCAUGGAGUAAUCACCUGACCUCCAACGUCACUCCUGACAUUCACACCUAGCUUUUAUCCAGGCUCAAGUCGUAGAGAUUCCAUAUAUGUUUCUCAUAUGAGAAGUGUUCAGCCAAUGUUGGGACAGUCGACAAAGAGCUUUCUAAUUUGUUCUCUUGGUGCUUCCAGCACCCCACAGUGAGUUCCUUCUGGGCUGUCUCCUAGAGCUCAGCACAGAGGUUAAGAGGAAGACCAUCUGGUUCAAAUCACCACUUUGCCACUCCCUGGCUGUGUGACCUUGGGCAAGUUACACAGCCUUUUUGUGCCUCAGUUUUCCUACAUGUAAAAAAUUUACUGCUAUAAAGAUUAAAGUGAAGUGCCUUACAAUGGACUGAUGAAUGUUUGUGGCCCCCCAAAAUUCAUGUUGAAAUCCUAAUCCAAUUACAAUGCUAUCUGGCAGUGGGGUUUGGGGAAGGUAAUUCAGCCAUGAGGGUAGAGUCCUCUCGAAUGGGAUUAGUGCCCUCAUGAGAAGAGAUCAAAAAGCUAUUGAGCUCUCUUUCCACCAUGUAAAGAUGUGAGAAGUUAGCAAUCUGCAUCCAAGAAGAAGACCCUCACCAGCACCUAACCAUGCCAGGACACUCAUUUUCCAGCCUACAUAAAUGUGACAAAUAAAUUUCUGUUAUUUCUAAGGCAUUCAGUCUCUGGUGCUUUGUUAUAGCGGCCUGAAUAACUAAGACAUGCCUGUACGUAGUCCACAUACUGUAAAUGAGAGGUAAGUAAAUAACGUGUACCUUUGUGCAGUUUUCUUCAAUUCUGUAAGAUUCGGUUACCCCGUUUCUAAAAUGGGACAGUAAUCCUUAUGCAUUUAUUUAACAAACGUUAUUUACUUAACAAAUAUUUACUGUGCUCCUAUUAAGUGCCAGUCACUGCCGUAGGAGUUGGAGAUACCACAGUAAAUAAAACGAGGUCUUUGUCCUUAAAGAGUUUGCUUUAUUGGCCAGGCAUGGUGGCUCAUGCCUUUAAUCCCAGCACUUUGGGAGGCUGAGGUAGGUGGAUCAUGAGAUCAAGAGUUUGAGACCAGCCUGACCAACCUAGUGAAACCCCGUCUCUACUAAAAAUACAACAGUUAGCCAGGUGUAGUGGCAGGCACCUGUAGUCCCCGCUACCCAGGAGGCUGAGGCAAAAGAAUUGCUUAAACCUGGGAGGCAGAGGCUGCAGUGAGCUGAGAUCCCACCACUGCACUCCAACCUGGAUGAUAGAGUGAGACUCCAUCUCAGAAAAAAAAAAAAAAGAGUUUGCUUUAUUGUAGGUGCAGGGAACAGGCAGGACAAUCAAAUAUGUGAUUUAAAAAAAAUAGAAAGCAGAUGAAUAUGGUACUGCGUUUUUUGUUUGUUUUGUUUUUUUGAAACAGAGUCUCGCUCUGUAGCCAGGCGCCAGGCUGGAGUGCAGUGGUGCAAUCUUGGCUCACUGCAACCUCCGCUUCCCGGGUUCAAGCAAUUCUCCUGCCUCAGCCUCCCGAGUAGCUGGAACUACAGGCAUGCACCACCAUGCCCAGCUAAUUUUUGCAUUUUUUUAGUAGAGACGGGGUUUCACCAUGUUGGCCAGGAUGGUCUCCAUCUCUUAACCACGUGAUCCACCCACCUCGGCCUCCCAAAGUGCUGGGAUUACAGGCGUGAGUGGUAGUGUGUGUUUUUUAAGAUAUAGUGGUCAGGGAAGGCUUUUCUGAGGGGACGGCACUUGAGCAGUGAUAUGAAUCAUCUGAGCAAGUGAUCUGGAGGUAAAAAGUGGAUUCCAGUCAUAGCGAAUGGCUGGUGAAAAAGGCCUGAGGCAGGACCAUGUGCGACAUGUGCAAGAAACAGCUGAGGAAACUGUGGCCAGAGUACAGCAGGAGAGAAAGUGGUAGGUGAGAUCCCAGGGGGAGACUCGGGACCUAGAGCACACAGAGUCUCCUAGGCCAGGUCAGGACAUAGAGAAUGUCCUAACGUGGAUACUCUCAUUGGAAACCCGCAAUGGGAUUUGAGAGAAGAAUAAGGGCUUAUUACACAGUGCGUGGCAGAAUGUGAGACUGUGGUACACCACGGAGAGACAUAGAUGUUUAAGAAGUUAGGGGAGAGGGAUCAUUUCAGACCCCAGAGAGCUUAAAGGCAGCAGCAGCAUUUGAGCUGAGUAUAUGUUCAAUGGGAGGAAGCCAAUUUUCAAAUGAAGGAAAAGUGGUGAGCAUGAUGCUUAGGGGGUUUGUUUGAUUCAUUCAUUCAUUCACUUACCAUUGGCCCUUCUCUGUGCUGCAUCCCUUAAGUGCUAGGGAUACAGUGGUAUGUCCAUAUCAUUCAGCCUGGCACCUGUCUUCAAUGAGUUCACAGUGCAGGUUGGGUGGAGAGAAUAGCUUAGACUGGUGUUAAUUCUUGUUAAGCCCCUAAGAUUCCAGGCUUGUGACUGCCGCAUAGCAUAGGUUGUGAUCUCCAAUAUUGAGUGAGGUGCUGGUCAUGUGUCAGCUUUCCUAACAGGCAGAUGUUUGUCACAAAGGCCAUGGCAUGAUGAUAUUCCCUCUGACACAGUUCCACCAGUAAACCCUCUUUACAUUUAUACAAUCAUCCUCAAGGAAACCCGUAGUGCAUUUGGCCACCAGGAUGGUACCAAGGUCCUAAUGGCAGUGCAUCUCAAAGAAAAAAGUGAAAACCAAAACUAAACUCCAUCCUGAGAUAGUAAGUCAUCCCAAAGAAAAGCCAUCCAGCCUCAGUUUUAAUCAAGCUCUUGGAGGAGUGCUUGCUUUGUGCCAGGGACUCUUCUAAGGGUUUCACAAUAAUUAACUCAUUUCAUGUUCACAACAGGCUGUAGCCCUGCACACACACUUCAUCCUCACUACUUCAGCACACACUGCCUGACGGCCAGCUGUCAGCUCAUGCAUUGCUUUGCCUGAGACCUUUCUCUUCCUGACAGAGCCCACGUGGCAGGCUGAAUGGCAGCCAAAAGUGUCAGGGAAUUCACACCCCCACCAGGCGUAUGCACUCAGAUGGCACAUGGACAUUCAUGCCCUUGCAUAUGAAAGCAGUCCUCAAUUAAGGCUGGCUUGGAAUUGGUGUAUAAAUACCCCGCCUCCUUCACCCUUGGAGUGCAUGUUUUACCCUGAGUUGUGUUUUACAGUCUCCAGCACUCCCCAGGGGGAUUAUGCUCAAGUCACCUGCAGUGGUAACUUGCUCCUUCCUGUCUUCCUUUACUACUCAUCUAUCUUCACCUCCCAAUCAACCACUUGCUCUUAAAUCUAUGUCUGGGAUGUUCCCCUGAGGGAACCAGCUUAAGACACAACCCUGUCUUUGAGGGAAGAAGGUACCACAAUAGUCAUCCUUGUUUUGUAGCCAAGAAAAGUAAAUCAGAGUUUUUCAAACUUAUUUAGAGAGAUGCUGAAUAAUUUUCCCAAGGUCACAGAGCUUCACACCCAGCCACCAGGCUCCAAGAUCCAGGCUUCACACCCAACAACCAGGCUCCAAGAUCCACGCUAUUAACCCCGACACACUACUGCAAAAGCAACCCAAACCACUGAGCACCUGCCUCCUUUCAUUGGCUUUGUGAGAUACCCAGGCUGCUGAGCUACAUAGAUGAAUACAUGUUUUUCCAGAUUCAUCUAUAACCUUCUCUUUGGAGAUUCCAGCGUGUAAUUCAGAAGUGUGUUUGAGAAGGUAUUUGAUGUGAUUUUCAAUGCAGUGGCAGCCACAAGGUGAUUCAUCAGCCGGCUCUCUUUGACAGUGAAUUGAUCUCCCAGGUCAGGAAGCAAACCUCAAUUUACGUGGGAUGCACUUGGAAUGCGCCCUCAGAGUAGCACAUGGGAGAUAAAGCACAGUCAAUGACAGUUCUUGUCAAUGAGUUUGUUAUGGCAAGAGGGGAGAUGUGAGGCUUUCCGGUCCGAGUGCGACUGCUGACACUCCAGGUGCAUGCUUUUUUUCUUUUUUGGUAUGAUAAACACUUUGCCUGAGUCUGUUAGCCCUGCCUGUCAAUUCUUUGACAUUUCCAAGUCCUCUUGUGAUCCAAGUAUCCUCAUCCAACAGCACAAAAGCAAAGUGAGUGCUUACUUGGUUAUCAGGCCAUCAACCAUUCUUUUUUCUUUCAAACUAGAUCUCUCUGAUUUUUCAAUUUUGUUUCAUGUCUGGAUGAGUGAUUUCAGAACCAUGAGGUUGGUGAAGUCUGAGCUUCCCCACUCAGAAUUUCUUGCCUUUGUACCAAAAAAAAAAAAAAAUACCAUUGUAGCAAAUUGUCCGUGUGAUUCAUUUGUCACAGUCACUGAUGAAAAAAUUCUUUUCUUGAAGGUCUUUCCAAGAUCCUGGACCAUGAUAAUAGGAAACAACCCCAGAAAGUGAGAAAAGCCAGACACAAAAACUUAAUAUUAGAUUUAUUUUUGCCAUUAGAAAAUCUUAUUCUUUUUGCUUUUGGGGUGAAAUUUGAGCUAUAGAGGUUGAGAAAUUGAGAAACAGAAGAUCUGAUCAAGACUGCCUCUGCUAGCAUAAAGAUUAAUCUUUUCAAAACACAAUUUUAUUUUUCUUAUGUCUAGGUUUUCUGUUCUUUAGUCAUACCUUAAAGAAAUUAAAAAUCAUAAGGCUGGUUUCUUCCUGCUUCCCAUACAAGCUGAUCGUGCUCAACCAAGAGCUAGAACUAAGUUUACGAGAAAGAAAGGAGGGGAGGAAGGAAGAAAAGGGUGAAAUGGGAGGGAGGGAGAGAAGGAAGAAAGGAAAGGAGGGAGGAAAGAAGAGAAAUAGUAUGUGGAGAACAUUCUUUCCAUUUCAAAACUGUAAUCACCUCAUUGACCAUCUAAAAUGAAAAUUCGAUGGACAGUCAUUCAAUGCCUUACUUAAUUCAUCUGUGUAAAUUCAACCCUAAUGCCUCAGUUUUAGAGCAGGCCCAUUUUAUCCUUUUCAUCACCUCAGCCACAGAGUAGCAGUGACUUCAGUCCAGAAACAGAGCUUCUUAGUGUAAUUCAUUCAAUACAUCUACCUUGAGGCACUUCUACACCAAGACACUUGCUGGAUUCUGAAGGGCUAGGAAGAUGAAUCCGAUACAAUGUCAGUCAAGAGAGGCUAGGUUAGGCCGCAUGACAACCCCAAAUCUUGGUGACUGGAAGCAACAAAAAUGUAUUUCUUGUCUAUGCCACAUAUUUGUUGUGGAAACACAGAGGCCUUCAAUCUACAGCGCCCUCACUCAGGGACCAAGGCUGAGGGAGGCUCCAUCUCUUUCUUUCCAUGAUUGAUAAAACAGGAAAAGGGGAUGUGGAGAAUCCCACACUGGCUCUUUCAUGACCCCAUCUGGAAGUGGCACCUAAGUAACUUAGGUGCAAGUUACUCUGCUCACCUUUGAUUUGUCAAAAUAAGUCAUACAGUUAUGGCUUACUUCCAGGAGAUAGGACAGCAUAAUCCUAUGUGCCCACAAGAGGAGACAACUAAACAAUCUGGUGACCAGCUCGCAAUGGUUUGAAUGUCUGUCUCCUCUGAAACUCAUGUUGAAACUUAAUCUCCAUUGAAUAGUAUUAAGAGGGUGGGAAAUCCAACUGUAGAUUUGAGAGAUGUGACCUUUGGGAAGUAAUUAGGAUUAAGAUGAAGUGGUGAGUGUGGGGCGUUAGUCACUUUAUGAAAGAAAGGCCUGAGCUAGCACUCAGCCCCCUCACCAUGUGAUGUCCUGUGCCAUCUGGGGACUCUGCAGAAAGUCCCACCAGCAUGAAGAUCUGCAACAGAUGUGCCCAGCCCCCAGAACUACAAGAAAUAAAUGCCUUUGCUUUGGAAAUUACCCAUUUUUCUGGUAUUCUGUUAUGGCAACAGAAAACAGACUAAGACACUAACUAAACCCACCACACAUCCAGUUCUUGAUACGGAGGAGCUCAUUGUCUUUUAAAUAGCAAAGCCAAAAAUCUUUUUAGCGGUUCCCUAGGAGAGGAGCACACUAAAUGUCACAAGGUCAAAGGCAGAACUCACCCAGGUAGAAGGGCCUCAGAAAAUAAGCUGGAUUUUUACAAGAAAAGAUGAGAAAUCAGGCUUUUUUUAAUUGCAUUUUAGGUUUUGGGGGACAUGUGAAGAAUAUGCAAGAUAGUUGCAUAGGUACACACGUGGCAGUGUGAUUUGCUGCCUUCCUCCCCUUCCCCUAUAUCUGGCAUUUCUCCCCACGCUCUCUCUUCCCAACUCCCCACCCCCGCUGUCCCUCCCUAUUCACCCCAACAGACCCCAGUGUGUAGUGCUCCCCUCCCUGUGUCCAUGUGUUCUCAUUGUUCAACACCCACCUAUGAGUGAGAACAUGUGGUAUUUCAUUUUCUGUUCUUGUGUCAGUUUGCUGAGAAUGAUGUUCUCCAGGUUCAUCCACGUCCCUACAAAGGACACGAACUCAUCGUUUUUGAUUGCUGCAUAAUAUUCCAUGGUGUAUAUGUGCCAUAUUUUCCCUGUCCAGUCUAUCAUCGAUGGGCAUUUGGGUUGAUUCCAGGUCUUUGCUAUUGUAAACAGUGCUGCAAUGAACAUUCGUGUGCAUGUGUCCUUAUAGUAGAACGAUUUAUAAUCCUUUGGAUAUAUACCCGGUAAUGGGAUUGCUGGGUCAAAUGGAAUUUCUAUUUCUAAGGCCUUGAGGAAUCGCCACACUGUCUUCCACAAUGGUUGAACUAAUUUACACUCCCACCAACAGUGUAAAAGUGUUCCUAUUUCACCACAUCCUCUCCAGCAUCUGUUGUCUCCAGAUUUUUUAAUGAUCGCCAUUCUAACUGGCGUGAGAUGGUAUCUGAAUGUAGUUUUGAUCUGCAUGAGAAAUCAGGCUUUUUAGGUGCAAAGAAGAGCAAGGCAAAGAAGAGAAGUCAAGACACGUGAAUGAUGCUGCAUAAGAACGAGUAGUGUGUUUUGUGCUGCAGGGGAGAAACAUCUAAGGACCUGAUUUUCCCUUUUCUCCUCCAUGUGAAGGUUGGAAGAAGAGACAGGAAAGAACGCCAAUCAAAACCGGGGAGCCAAUAUCCAUCUAAAAGCAUUCAAGCUUCAUUGUCUUCAACCUAUUUGGGGCCAGCGUAUCUGCCAAUUGGCACAGACUCGUUUCCUCACUCCAUAAAGCAAGUGAGAAAAGAGAAAGCCAGUUCGUAAUAACCCUCUACAAAGUCGAAGCAUAAUCUGAUCUCGGGUUUCUAAAGAAUCUGGUUCCUUUCACCUGAAAAUGCCUGGGUAAAGCUGCUGUUAAUACACCACGUUCUAGUAAAGCAGAGAGGCGUGCAUUUUUUAAUACCACCACCAUUAAGGAAAAAGCUGUUUUUGUUUUAGUCCAAUGGUUAGCACACUGCCCUUAGGCCUAGGGGCUCUGCAGAGAUGUCUCAGGUGGAUAAGGGAGGCGGAAAGGAGAGGUUUUUCCGUUCUCAGUCACUGUCUUAGUUUGGGUUUCCCUAGAAGCUGACCAAGAGACAAGGAUUUAAGUGCAAGUUUUAUAUUUGGAAGGUGAUUCUAGGGUCACCGCUUAGGGAGUGAAGAAGUGAGAAAGGGAAGGAAAGGCAGCCAACAAGGGGUGUGUUAUCAAUGCAAUUAUCACUGCGGACAGGUAGACAGAGCCUGUGCCUCUUAGGGAACUGUGUGAGCCAGUCUGGAGGACAUGCAUCAGCAGCAUCCCACCUGAGGCAUGCAGGAGCUGGGGUGUAAAUACCACGGCUCCCAUCCAUUAUUGGUUCAGAGCUGCUUAUGAGGGACGUUAAUUCUCUGGUACUUCCAACGUGCCAGGAAGUGGCAAAACAAACUCUGGCAGCCAGAAAAAGCCCUUGGCGAGGGAGCGAGUGACAGGGAGCAUGUGCUGGCAGUCGGAAUUUAAUGGAAGGAGCCAAAAUUUUGCAGAACAAGAGAAUAUGCAAGAGACACCAAUAGCAUGGGAUACAGCCCCCUAUUCUUAGUCGUCUGAGAAGAGAGGCUUAAAUCUUCUGCUUUACAUAUCUGGGUGGCACUAGAGAGAUCUAAGGAAAAAGAGGUUUUAAAACCUCUGGUCUGAAACAAUGCACUUACUUUACGAAUAAAGACAUAGAGACCCCAAAAAGGAAGUAUGUAGCAACGUGAGGACCAGAGCUGAGGUCCUUGAGCGUCACACCAGGGCUUUUCCCACGCUGCAUGCAUUUUAGCCCAAGCCCAUUUUUGCUGCUAUUUCAUUUUCUCCAACUCCUUUUCUUCACAUUAUCCCCGUUCUCCACGUGUGCCCCGGUGACCUCAGCCGACUGUUUCCCAGCAUCGACCACUCAAGCUUCCCACCAGUCACAUAGAAUACCAUUCUCUUUCCAUCUUUAUCCAGCUCCUUUGACAAAAACCUUUUAUUACAUUUGCAAACAGUGACCAAAAAGUAUGAAAACCAGAGGAUUGAUGCUGGCACAACCACUUUGGAAUUAAAUGUAAAUACUCCACUUCACUUGGGCGACAUGCUGGGCCGAUAAAACAGCUUCUGCAAACUCAGUAUCAAGGAGUCUGUUUCCAGUACAGCUGCCUGUUGUCUUUCACGUUUGAAGAUUGUUCAAAAGGCUUUGGGCUGCUUUAUACACGAACAUGUGGAUGUCUUAAUUUAUAAAAACUGCUGUGCAUCCUAUUAAGCUCUGCAUCCUCAGUACCCGACACUCUUUCUAGACCACAGUAAGUGCUCAAUAAAUGUUCGCUAAAUGAAUGAAGAAAAAGAAUGAUAGCCCCUCACUCUUGUAUCCCCCUCAAACUGAAAUCCAAAGGCCAGCCAGCUGCAGGGAUUUUCAUGUGCAGGCUGAGCUUCAGUAACAUUCCGUCAAAAAUGGAUCAUGACCUCUUUGCCAGAUUUUUCUUGAACUAUACAGACAAAAAAAAUUAACAUCAUUCCAUUCAUUAAAUAAAUAUUCAGUGCUAACUAUGGGUUGGGCACUGGGAUAUGAUGGUGAAAGGAGAAAUAAAGGAGAGGCUCUUCCUCUUUGAAGAGUGCAGCCCAGACAGACACAAAUCAAGUAAUCAUACCAGUUCAGUGACACCAGCCAUGGUAAAUGACGGUGGUGUUUUUACAGAUAGGUCCACAAAGACUUUGAUGUUCCUCCCCUUGAGAGGUGGAGCUCAAUUCCCUUUUCCUGGAGUAUCGGUUGGACUCAGUACCUUACUGUAGGGAAUAGAAGGGGUGGGAUGUCAUUUCCAAGAUUAGGCUAUAAAAAGACUGUUGCCCCAUCUUGGGUGGAUUCAUUCUUUGUCUUUCUGUCUCUCUUCUCAUCAUUUGCUCUCGGGGAAGUACCAGUUGCUAUGUUACGAGGAUACUCAGGCAUGUGAGGGGUAAGGGAGAACCCCCCUUUAGGGAGGAACAGAGAACUUGUAGCAACGAUGUCACUAUCUUGGAAGCAGAGCCUCUAUCCCCAGUGGAGCCUCUCCAGAUGACUAGAUCCCUGGCCAACAACCUGACUGCAACCUCAGGAGUAACUCUUGAGUCAAAACCACCCAGUUAAUCCAUUCCCAAAUGCCUAACUCACAGAAACUUGGAGGUAAUAAAUAUUUGUGGCUUAUAAUAUGCUUGGGGUAAUUUAUUAAAGCAAUAGGUAAUUAACAUGAAGGAGAAGUCCUAGAUAAUGUGACUGCUUCCAUCUGAUCUGAGAAGUCAAAAAGAGCUUCCCCAAGAAAGUGGUGAGUAAUGGAGGAGCAAGAAGGCUGAGAAGAGUAAUCAAAAGAAAAGAAGUGACAUGUGCAAGGGUCCUGGGGCAGGAAGGAGCACACUGAGUUGGAAAGACUAAAGGAAACCAGCGUGGCCACUGGUGCAUGAGAUCAAAUGGGAAAGUGAUUUGGAAUGAAGCCAGCAGGAGGGGGACCUAUCCAUGGAGGGCCUCAAGACAUUGUCCAGAACUUUGAUCUUUAUCAAGAGAGCAAUGACAAGUCUUUAAAGGGUUUUAAACAGGUAGGUGACUUGAUCAGACUUGGAUUUCCUUCAUGUUCUUUCAACUACCAUCUCCUACCACAGCAAUCAGCUGACAGCUUCCUCUCUCUGGGCAUGUUUGGAUUUCCACACAGAAUUUUUGCAAAUAAUGAACAUCACAUAGGCAAAAAACAAAAAAACAAAAACCUGCUUAUAAUUUGCAGUGCUAACUUCAUGCUAACCCUAUUUUACCCCAGUGGCUGCCAGUCACCUGCUAUCAGCUGGAAGAGGGUGAGAUAGACAAGGUUUGGUAAACAUAGGGUGAAGGGGCUCCCUUCAAGGUAAAUCCCAAAAUCAUGUGUCAAUGUUGGCGCAUAGGAGCAUCUGUGCUGUUUUUAAAGGACAGAGUCCAGUUUUUAUCACAUUCUGAAAGGGAUCUGGGUUUCCUAGAAGCAGAAGCUGAAGCCAGGAUUCAGGGUCAUGGGAGUUACUGAGGAAGGACUCACAGGGGAAACUUUCUAGGAAAAUUCAGAUAAAAGAACCCAGCAAGGGUGUGAUCUUGGGUAAUAUGUAACCCUGGCAUGAUCCCCAGGAGGACACCAGAGAAUUAUACACAGAGUUACCUCAUCCAAUGGCAUGAGGCCAGCCUCUUACACCCCUACAUCCCCCAGUUACUGGCUGUGAGUUGCUCCCAUCAAUCAAGGACAUUUCUCUGGAGACAACGUAGGUUUUCCAGAUAAAAUUAAGUAUUUUUAUUUGCUAAAUAGAGCAACCCUAAGAAAAGGGCAACUACGAAUCAUUAACAGCCAACACUCACAGCAGCUCAGGGAUGGCUCAGCAAAGGGGAUCUUGGCAGGACACAAAAAUAGUGUUAACCAAAAUCUGUGACCCUGAAAAGGUUCAACACCCUCCAUCUAUAGGACGGAAAUGGUUGGCUAGUCAGUAAUGUCCUGGGAAACCAUGAUAAAUUCCUCACACUUAGAAACUGCAACGGGGCCCCCAGGAAACCAGGACAGAGUCCAGUUGUGUUUGCACAUCUGACUCAAGUUUCCCAGGGAAUCCAACCCAAAUCCAGAACUGAAAGCUUAUGAGAGUUCAGGAAGAAGCCAACAGGCCAAAACGAACCUAAGCAUCAUUCAACUAAAAGUUGCACAAAGAUUCUACAAAGGAACCCCUGAGAGUUCAGACAACCAGGUCUCCUGCGUUAUUUUCAGUGCGGGGUCGUACAGUGGAAGUUAAAGUAAAGAUUCUGGAUCUGUACUAUCCAUCUCAAAUCCCAGUGCCCCUACUUUACCAACUGUGUGACUCUAGGCAAACUGCAUGACCUCUCUGGGACCCACUUUCUUCUCUGUCAAAUGGAGAACAUAGUAAUAGUCUAUCUGUUACCAGUAUAGGAUCAACUGAAUGGAUUUCUAUAAACCCUUUAAAACUGUGCCUGCCUCAGAGUAGGCAUCAAUAAAUGUUUAUUAUUAAUAUGAUUAUAUAGCUAUCAAAAAUGAUAUUUUAGUUAUUAAAGUUAUCUGAAACUUCCCAGAUUAGUUC